rnacentral:rRNA from 1 species
AUUGAACGCUGGCGGCAUGCUUUACACAUGCAAGUCGAACGGUAACAGGGUGCUUGCACCGCUGACGAGUGGCGAACGGGUGAGUAAUGCGUCGGAACGUGCCGAGUAGUGGGGGAUAACGCAGCGAAAGUUGUGCUAAUACCGCAUACGUACUGAGGUGGAAAGUGGGGGACCUUCGGGCCUCACGCUAUUCGAGCGGCCGACGUCUGAUUAGCUAGUUGGUGAGGUAAAGGCUCACCAAGGCGACGAUCAGUAGCGGGUCUGAGAGGAUGAGCCGCCACACUGGGACUGAGACACGGCCCAGACUCCUACGGGAGGCAGCAGUGGGGAAUUUUGGACAAUGGGCGCAAGCCUGAUCCAGCCAUGCCGCGUGUCUGAAGAAGGCCUUCGGGUUGUAAAGGACUUUUGUCCGGGAGCAAAUGCUGGUGGCUAACAUCCACCGGAGCUGAGAGUACCGGAAGAAUAAGCACCGGCUAACUACGUGCCAGCAGCCGCAGUAACAC